rnacentral:rRNA from 1 species
AACGAACGCUGGCGGCAUGCCUAACACAUGCAAGUCGAACGAGACCUUCGGGUCUAGUGGCGCACGGGUGCGUAACGCGUGGGAACCUGCCCUUAGGUUCGGAAUAACUCCCCGAAAGGGGUGCUAAUACCGGAUAAUGUCUUCGGACCAAAGAUUUAUCGCCUUUGGAUGGGCCCGCGUUGGAUUAGCUAGUUGGUAGGGUAAAAGCCUACCAAGGCGACGAUCCAUAGCUGGUCUGAGAGGAUGAUCAGCCACACUGGGACUGAGACACGGCCCAGACUCCUACGGGAGGCAGCAGUGGGGAAUAUUGGACAAUGGGCGAAAGCCUGAUCCAGCAAUGCCGCGUGAGUGAGGAAGGCCUUAGGGUUGUAAAGCUCUUUUACCCGGGAUGAUAAUGACAGUACCGGGAGAAUAAGCACCGGCUAACUCCGUGC